rnacentral:tRNA from 1 species
CGGGAUGUAGCGCAGCUGCUAGCGCGCGUGGUUUGGGACCACGAUGUCGCAGGUUCGAACCCUGUCAUUCCGACCA